AGUGAACGCUGGCGGCAGGCCUAACACAUGCAAGUCGCACGGCAGCACGGCAGUAGCAAUACUGUGGGUGGCGAGUGGCGGACGGGUGAGGAAUACAUCGGGAUCUACCCUGUUGUGGGGGGAUAACGUAGGGAAACUUACGCUAAUACCGCAUAAGAACUGAGGUUGAAAGCGGCGGACCGCAAGGCGUCGCGCGAUUGGAUGAACCGAUGUCCGAUUAGCUAGUUGGCGGGGUAAAGGCCCACCAAGGCGACGAUCGGUAGCUGGUCUGAGAGGACGACCAGCCACACUGGAACUGAGACACGGUCCAGACUCCUACGGGAGGCAGCAGUGGGGAAUAUUGGACAAUGGGCGCAAGCCUGAUCCAGCCAUGCCGCGUGGGUGAAGAAGGCCUCGGUGUAAGACC
rnacentral:rRNA from 1 species